UAUUGCUCGUUUUUUAUCCACAACAAAAUGAACGCAUUAAGAUCACUCUCUAUUGUAAAAAAACCCAGUUCCAGGAUCAAUCAAAAAUGAUAUUUUAUAAACUGAGUCACUCGCAAUUUUGGUUAAAUUUGGAGUGUUGAAAUAUUUGACAAUUUAAACAGAUUGGUGAUUAUGUUGAGAGGUUUAAGAUUCAUUAUAUAGUUCCACUUUUCCCUUUUAUAUUAUCUUGCAAUUCGUUGUUAUUCUUUAGGAUAAACUAUGAUUAUAUCUUGUUCUAUCAUUAAGCUUAAGUUGAACCUUUUAUUGGUUAGGUGUUCAGUCUUUUUGACAGUCAGACCUCACUCUCACCACCAAACUAUACACUAUUAUGUUAGUACUUUCAGGCUUAAACAUAUUAUUUACAUUUUAUUUUGCAGGUGCUUGCCUAUGUAAUUUUCAUAUUCAUGUUCUUUGGAUGGCUUGCUACAGUAUCAGACAUUAAAGUGCCGGAGAUGGCGACACAGGGCCAAACACAUGUGGAAUUGGUGUAUAUUCGCCUGCACAUGUGUUGACAAAAGAACUUCAAUCUUUGGUGAAGAGUUCUAUAGCUAUUCCCACUGUGAAAGGGAUGGGAGAAUAAGGUUACAAAUUUUUUGGGUCGUGUAUGUCGGGCUUAUGAUUGAAAGAAAUUUGAACUUCCUAUGCUUAUUAAGUACAAUGUCCAGUUUGGAUACCAGAAUGCCAGGGUUCUUGGAAUUACAGCCAAGGGGGAUGACCUUUAAGAAGCACGAGAUAGUGGCCUGAAGGGUUUUAUCCACAAGAUAUCAGCUGGAGAGCCCUCCCCAAAAGCAAUUUUCAUCAAGAUGUUUCAUUUUCGUUGUUUAGAAAUUUUGGAUAUAUAUCGUGAAACAUUAAACUAUAACACGUUAGGGAAGAAAGAGAGAUAAGAGUAGUUGUUUGAACUUUAGAUAGCCCAAUCUUGUUUUCUUAUUAUUUCUAUGUAUUAGAUUUCCCCUUGCGUUAUUUCUAAUUGAGAAUACAUAAAGAAGUCUCCGAAUGUUGUAUCUUUAGAUAUUGAAUUUUACCAUUUAAUCACGAUUCUUGAACUUUGGCUGGCUCAUCCAUGUACUUAAAUUUGAUGAUCUCCUUUUGCUAAUCUGUUUCAC